GAAAUAAACUUUUCUUUUUGUCGAGGAAAACAUUUUCUAGGAUAAAAAUUUCUCAGCUCCGAUUCUUCCUCCAAAUAAAUUCAUCUUAGGUAAUGUUUGUUGUUACAAUUCUGUUUUUCCUAUUUUUCUUCAUGCUUUGUUGAGAGUACAAAUUUGUGGGUUAUUUGCAGAUUUUUAAAGUUGUUGUUCCCUUCAAAAUUUCAAUUUUUUCCAUUUUGUGGAGAAAUUUUGCAUCUGGGUUCAAAGAUUCUGAGGUUCAUUUUUAGAUAUGGAGUUUUUGUUAUUAUGUUUGGUAUUUUGUAGUAUCCCAUUUGGAUAACUUGUCAACUGCUUUGAAUUCUCGGAGACGUUCGUUAGUGAAGCCAAUGAAUGCUGCGCCUAAGAGAAAUGAUUCAAUAGUUCCAUCAACAGCUACCAUCGUGGCUCCUGGUAAAUGGAAUUUUUAUUAUUUGUGUUUGCGUGUGCUUUGUUUUCAUGGUGUUGAAGGAUGGGCAAACUGAUGUUUAGGUUUUCAGUUACUGGGAUCAUAUGAGUAGUCAAAAAAAAUCCUUGUGUCCACAUAUAAAAAGUUCUAGAGAAGGUAAGAUUCUUGGUUGUAUCUUUAUUAAAUUGAAAUAUGUAAAACGAUUAUACCUCCCCUGUGUCCUUCAACUUUGUUCAUGUUUAUAAUUUUUAUUACGUACUAAACUAUGAAUCCUAAAUUUCGGCAUCACUAUGAAGUAAUCCAAGUGAUAAUCUUUUGUCGUUUUUCUGUCAAAACAAUAAAGAAGUUCAUACAUAUGAAGUUUAUUAUUUGCUGACUAUCGUUAUUUCCCUGAACCUGAUCUUCCUGGAGUUACUCUCACUAAGGAGUAUGUGGACAGUAUCCGUGAGUCAUUGCCUGAACUUCCAGAAGAUAAGUGUCGGAGGUAUAAGAAAAUUGGCCUAAGCAUGCAAGAUGUCCUGUUUCUUGCCAAUGACAACAAUACUAUGCAGGUCAACCAUGCCCAAGAAAGAAGUUUCCUGAAGCCAAUAACCAACAUGUAGCCAAAUAAAGACAAAGUUUGAUAUAAUAGUACAAGUGGAGGUUGAUGAAAUUCAGGAGCAGUACCACUCCAGAUCAUGCCAUACGACAACAAAUAUGAAGAUAACCCACACAUUUAGCAGCUUCGUCUAAGUACCCCCAAGAGGAAUAUACAUAUAUCUAAAUGUAGACACAUCACACAAGAUUUUGGGGUCAGGAGACUGAUGAUGGAACACUUGAUUUGAUCCAUUCUGCAGAUGUUUUGGAGGUGAAGUUCCCCUUGUAUCGUAGUAUGGAGAAGAUACAUGUUAAUAAUGGUUUCAUGAAUAUGGAUUUGUGGCAAAGAGAAGAAUUUAUGACAUCACAAAUGUCCUUGAGGGAAUUGGAUUAAUUGAGAAAAGUACAAAGAGUCAUACGUUGGAAAGGGUUCCAUUCAACCAAAUCUCGUGGGCUGGAUAAUCAAGUGUCUAGACUGAAGGGUUUAACAUAUCCAGUGGCAGAGCUGUUUCUUGAAAACGUGUUGGAGAAGAAAAUUGGAGAUCUUGGGCUUGCUGCUAUUUUGCGAAAAUCACACACUGCUCAUUGUGUUGUUGAUCAUUCUUCAUCGAGUGGGAUGCCUCUGUUUUCUAAGAGCACGUACCAACCAAGCAACAUGAAGCGCAAAAGGACACAUGGUUUCAUUGCUCGGCGGUUUCACUUUGUUAACAACUCUAUGUGUCAAUGGUAUCAAUAUUCCACAACAAUCCAGCUACUUCUUGUUAACAACUCUGUGUCAAUGGUAUCAAUAUUCCACAACAAUCCAGCUACUUCGCCAAUAGGUGUUUCAUCGUGAAUGCUCAAGAGAUUGAUCACGGCAACAACUGCAUCCCCUAUUGUAGAAUUUAUAAAUAUUAUCUCUAACAAUGUAAAUAGACAACAAUGACUAUCAUAUGUAAAUAUGAGCAUCCAGUAAUAUGUUAUUCCCAUGAUUGUAUAAAACAUACAUUUGAAAUCAUUUCGAUCAACUGGUCCAAUCAAACGGCAAUAAUAUGUUAUUCCCAUGAUUGUAUAAAACAUACAUUUGGAAUCAUUUCGAUUAACUGGUCCAAUCAAACGGAACAGUCCCUUGUUGU